rfam:Picoides pubescens contig14723, whole genome shotgun sequence.
CAUAAGGAUUUUUUUAAAUCCAUAUAUAUGUAUAUAUAUAAAAAUAU